AAUCAACGCUGGCGGCGUGCCUAACACAUGCAAGUCGAACGCGAAGACCCCGCAAGGGGUUGGUAGCGUGGCAAACGGGUGAGUAACGCGUGGGCGACCUACCCUCGAGUGGGGGAUAACCUUCCAAAAGGAGGGCUAAUACCGCAUGACAUCCCGUGUUUGGAUACACGGAGAUCAAAGCCGGGGAUCGCAAGACCUGG
rnacentral:rRNA from 1 species